UACAGAGGGUGCUAGCGUUGUUCGGAAUCAUUGGGCGUAAAGGGCGUGUAGGCGGUUUGUUAAGUCAUGUGUGAAAUCCCUCGGCUCAACCGGGGAACGACGCAUGAAACUGGCAAGCUAGAGUACCAAAGAGGGGGGUGGAAUUCCCGGUGUAGCGGUGAAAUGCGUAGAUAUCAAGAGGAACACCUGAGGUGAAGACGGGUUGCUGGGCCAACACUGACGCUGAGGCGCGAAAGCCAGGGGAGCAAACGGG
rnacentral:rRNA from 1 species